GACCUGGCUGGGUGGUCCGCUUAACGGCGUGUACUGUUCGGCUGGGCCUUACCUCUUGGUGAGCCAGUGUGCCCUUUAUUGGUGUGCAUUGGGGAACCAGGACUUUUACCUUGAGAAAAUUAGAGUGUUUAAAGCAGGCUCACGCUUGAAUACAUUAGCAUGGAAUAACGGAAUAGGACG
rnacentral:rRNA from 1 species